CAGUGGGCCUCCGUGUAACCAAGACAGAACCUGUAGGGGUGUAUGUGUCGUUUUCAUAGCUAGUUCUCAAUGAAUUAGUAGCAUGGUGACUUUGUAGCUCUCAGCAGUUGCAAAUGUGGCGUCAAGGUCAAAAUCUUCUGCGGCGAGCCUCACUACCAUACCAUAGAUGCGGAAUCAGACAAAUCAUAACUGGUUCGACAUCAUCAUCGAGCCCAAGUGUGUCGAUAUGGAGGCGCAAGAAAGAAAUGGGGAAAGAAGGUUUAAUGGUCGCUAAGGAGCUUAAGCGCUUACAGUCUAACGCGGUUAGGUUUGAGAGAUUUAUGAAGUCACAUGUUUCUCGUCUACUUAAAUCUGACCUCCUUGCUGUUCUUGCUGAGUUCCAAAGACAAAAUCUCGUUUACCUCUCCAUCACGUUGUACGAGGCUGUGCGCAAAGAAAUAUGGUAUCGGCCAGACAUGUUCUUUUACAGGGAUAUGCUUUUCAUGCUUGCAAGAAACAAAAAGGUAGAUGAAACAAAGAAGGUAUGGGAAGAUUUGAAGAAAGAAGGGGUGCUUUUUGAUCAGCACACAUUUGGCGAUCUUGUCAGGGCUUAUCUAGAUGGUGGAUUGCCUGCAGAGGCAAUGCACAUAUAUGAUGAAAUGAGGCGCUCUCCUGAUCCUCUUUUGUCUUUACCUUAUCGUGUUAUAUUGAAGGGGCUACUUCCUUACCCCGAAUUGAGAGAAAAAGUGAAGGAUGAUUUUCUGGAACUGUUCCCAGAUAUUGUAGUCUAUGAUCCACCUGAAGAUCUAUUUGAUGAGGAAGAAUGGAGAAAGGAGAGCGAUGAUGAUUAGAAUAUGCUGUUGACUUGCAUUUUCUCAAUGGCAUUUAAAUUUUUCUCUGGUCAACAAGAUAGUGGAAUGGUAAAUAGGGAGUGCUUUGGCAGCAGAUCAUGAAAUCUUUUAAGUUGUUGAACAAAUGGUUGCUUCUGAUUUUGAGAAUUUGAAAUGUGACCCAGAAAAACUGUGGUAAAUUGGAAGUUUGUAAGCGGGUAUGAAGCUUACCUAUAAUAUCUAAACUGAAGGAAUCCAUAAACUUCAAAACCUGGAUCUGCCUUUGGUUUGAAGUGAUACAGAUAUUUGCUAAGAUGCUACGAUCUGAAUGUUCCUGCUGUACUACCAUAAUGAAGAGACAAUCAUGUUUUUGUAUGAGCCAGAUUGCAAAGCAUGUUUGGUCCUUCUUUGGUCAAAGUUGUGGCAUUGUAAACAUGAGGCAAUUACUCAUAUCUUGGUGGCUAUCUAAGGCUAAUAUGAUAUCCAUGCAGUGCUAUUACAAUGCCUCCCAACAGUUAUAUGCUGGGAGAUAUGGAAAAAUAGAUGGUAUGACAAUAUUUGCAUGUCUGGCAGAGUUAUUGUUCAGCAGGUCUGUAAAAACAUGACCAUUCUAUUAAAUAGCCAAUUUGCCACAGUCCAAUCGCCUUUAUCCUGGAAUUUGAUGUGUAAUGCAGUGGAGAAGGCAAAACAAACAACCAGUAGUCACCUGGUUAAAUGGAAUAAGCCUGCGUUUGGUUGGCUAAAACUAGACAUUGAUGGCUGUUGUACAGGGGAUAGGGGAAGCUCUGGAGGAUGUUGUAUCAUUAGAGGCAACCUUGGCUGCCUUGUCCUGGCCUACGCUGAAUACUAUGGCCAAUUCAGUAACAAAAUGGCCAAGGCCAAAGCUCUUUUACAGGGUAUGAAACUGUGUGUUAGCAUAAGUUCCUUUUAUGUGAUAGUGGAAUCUGAUCCCCAGCUGAUUAUUAACAUGAUUAACAACAAAUCCAACAUGUCAUUGAUCAGAUUGUUUACCUCUCAAGUAGUGUAAUUUUGUUUUUGUCCACACAUACCGAGAGGGCAGUAUGGCUGCUGAUUAACUAGCUAAUAUGGGGAAAGAUUGAGAGAUCAAGUUACAUUUGAUGAAGCUAUAUCUCUGCCAGAAAUAGUGAAAUCAACAGUGAAACUUGAUCGAGAUGGUACCCCAAACUUCAGAAUAAAACCAAGGAAGAAUCAUUUUGUUAUAAUGAUGCUAACACUAGAUACAGUGGUAGUACUGAAUCUUGUAUAGUUUUGUUAACUGUGUGUAUGGCAUCCUUUUGUGAAGCUUAUAGUAGUCAAAAUGUGAUGGAGGUAACCUCGAUCAAGUUAGGCAAACAUUUGUAAUCAGAUGUAUAUAAAAAUGAAUUCUAUCAUU